CUGACCUCUGCACCCUUUUGCUCCCCACCUGUCCCAAAAAAGUGGAGCUAUAACUGUGGGAAAAGGGGAUCUGAAGUCAGACACAGGAUCCACAGUAGCCUGGGGACCUUUCUCACCCCCGCCCUUAAGCAGGCCCCAACAUAACCGGCUGAGAAACCUCCUCUGCCAGAUCCUGACCUGAGCCAGGAGGCGGCCAGGAAACUGGAUUUUGGGACUGGGAUUUCAGAGAGGAAGCUGGAGAGCUGCAGGGUGGUCAUCUGUCACUUUAUUUUGCCCGUCUUGUAGCAUGUGGGUCUUUCGCAGCAGGAAGUGUGUUUUACAACCAGAGCCCCCGCCCUCCUGCAGCGCAGGCGCAGCUGGCUGGGCUCCUGCUUCCCACUCUCCACCUCAUCCAUAUUUGUCCUCGUCCCUGCCAGUCUCGAAAAGGCACUCUGUCACGUGUACACAGGAAAGGGCCCUGACAAGAGGAUGGGACUGCAGUUGUGGCUGCCAGGUUGGAGUGCAGUGGCACGAUCUCGGCUCAGUGCAACCUCCGCCUCCUGAGUUCAAGUGAUUCUCCUGCCUCAGCCUCCCUAGUAGCUGGGAUUACAGGACAAGGAGAGGGACAAAUUCCUUCUUGGCAUCCUUAUGGCCCUGUGACCUGCUAAUGAAUGCUGACUCUGAGUUGCUACUAGAAUUUGGUUUCCUUGUGGCUUCCCAGGAAUUGUGAGCCAUGUUGGAUAAGGACCUGCAAGGGAAGAAUGAGGAAGCCUGGGACAGUGCAGGAGGGGAGAGCACUGGUGGUAGAGAGGAGUGAUGACAAGGGUCUCCGCCAAAAGGGAAAUGGAGGGGUUAAAGAAGCUGCUGGGGAGGGUUAAAAACAAUGUGUUCUCACUCGUAGGUGGGAAUUGAACAAUGAGAACACUUGGACACAGGAAGGGGAACAUCACACACUGGGGCCUGUCGUGGGGUGUGGGGAGGGAGGAGGGAUAGCAUUAGGAGAUAUACCUAAUGUAAAUGAUGAGUUAAUGGGUGCAGCACACCAACAUGGCACAUGUAUACCUAUGUAACAAACCUGCACAUUGUGUACAUGUACCCUAGAACUUAAAGUAUAAUUAAAAAACAAAACAAAACAAAACAAAAACAAUGAGGUGCUAUUGUUUUAGUGGUGAGUAUCCGGAGACCUGGGAGUUCUAUUUACCAGGUAUAACCUGGGCUCAAAAUUCCAGGCUGACUUCAGGCAUGUCCUCAUCUCAUAGAUGCCAGCACUAAGGCCCAGAGAGGGCCGAGCUCAUUCAGCCCACCCAUCUUCUCACCCCUGACUGCAUUUCCCGGGGGUCCUUCUGCAGCCAGGUGCUGCUGUGGUACUUUGGGAUCUAUUGGCUGAGCUCCCAGAGAAGGGUCAUGGAUUGGGCUAGUUUGGAACAAGUGAAGGGACUGAAGAUGGGCUCAGUAUGGGGCGAAGACCUUCAGGAAGGGUCUGCAGAGUGAGUAGGGGGGUUUUGACUAGGAAAAGUUCCAACCCUGCCGGGGCCGCUGUCAAGAGAAAAGCAUCUAUUACAGUUACAUUUUUAAGUUAAGUAGACUGAAGAAUAUUUCUUGUGUAUUAAAGACGUUCCUUUUUGGUUGAUUUGCAAUGGAAAAGCUUUUGUUUUCUUUUUUUUUUUGGAAACAGGGUCUCACUCUGCUCACUCUGUCUCCCAAGCUGGAGUGCAGUGGUACAGUCACGGCUCACUGCAGCCUCCACUUCCUGGACUCAAGUGAUCUUCUCACUUCAGCCUUCUGAGUAGCUGGGACUACAGGUAGACCCAGUGUAAUCACAAGCAUCCUUGUAAGUGGCAAAGAGGCAGAGGAGACAGCGCCAGAGAGGCAGCUGCAUGAGAAGGAUCAAGAUGUUGCUGACUUUGAAGUUGGAAGAAGAAGGCCAUGAGCCUCAGUAUGUGGGCGGCUUCUAGAAGCUGGAAGGGGCAAGGAGAUGGAUUUGACCCUUCAGCCUCCAGGGGCAGCUGUACCUGCCAUCACUGAUUGUAGCCUGGUGAGGCCUGUUUUAGACUUCUGACCUGUAGAGCUGUAACAUAAUACAUUUGGGUUGUUUUCAACCACUAAGUUUGUGGUAAUUUGUUGUAGCAGCUGUAGAAAAUGAAUACAUAUGAAUCCUCUGGCAUUUGUUUGAGAUUUGCUCUAUGGCCUAGUAUGUGGUUGUAAAUGUUCCAUCUGUGCCUGAAAAAAUGUAUAUUUCUAAUUCAGUAGUCUCUGCUUUUUUUUUUUAUUUUGUACCCCAUCAAUAAAAUGAUUUUCAGCAUGUAUCCCCAAAUAAACAAUAUUUUAUUUAUUGAUUGAUUGAUAAACAGACAUGUUUAAUGAUAGCUUGCUUUUCACAGAGGUGACUUCGGAGACUUCUAAUCUAUAAUCCAGGAGUAUAUAACCAUGCAGCACAGACCAAUUAGUCACAUGUAAAAUAAACUAGAUUCUUACCAC
rnacentral:lncRNA from 1 species